GCGAACUUGCCACUGAGUGGAAAAGCUUUGAUCUAAGACAGUAUAGCGACAACCGACAUGUUUUUCGCAGAGAGACUAUCUCUUUUGUGCAUUCUUCUGAUGUUAUUGGUAGAGAUGAGGAUAAAGAGAACAUAAUUAGUAUGUUGAUGAAACAAAGUGAGGAUCAAAAUGUCCCUGUCAUUCCCAUUGUUGGACUUGGGGGUUUAGGAAAAACCACGCUCGCUCAAUUAGCAUUCAAUGAUGAUCGAGUUACUAGCCUUUUUCCUUUGAAGAUAUGGAUCUGUGUUUCUGAGGAAUUUGAUCUUUCUAGAUUGCUCAAGCUGAUUAUUCAGUCUGUAAAUAAAGGAGAAAGAUGUGAUGAUUCAACACUUGACGCCUUGCAAGCUCGUUUGAGAACCUUUUGAAUGAUAAGAAGUUCUUGCUCGUCCUGGAUGAUGUGUGGAAUGAAAAUAAAGCAAAAUGGGUUGAGUUAAGAAAUUUGUUGAGAUCGACGGAUGGAUUUUCUCCAAACAAAAUUAUUGUCACCACUCGGAGUUUGAACGUGGCCUCGAUAAUGAGUUCAAUUCCCCCUUAUAUAUUGAAAGGUCUCCCCCUUGAAGACUGUUUGACCUUAUUUACAAAAUGGGCUUUUAAUGAUGGUGAUGAGAGACAUUAUCCAAAUCUCAUUAGAAUCGGGGAGGAGAUUGUGAAAAAAUGCAAAGGGGUUCCUUUGGCAGUAAGAACAUUGGGAAGCCUACUAUUUCAGAAAACGGAUGAAUCUGAUUGGAUCUAUAUACGAGAGAGUGAAAUAUGGAGACUUGAGCAACAUGAAAACGAUAUUUUACCAGUGUUGAAGUUGAGUUACAAUCAUUUGCCAUCUCAUUUGCAACGAUGUCUUGCUUUUUUGUCCUUGUACAAAAAGGAUGAGAUCUAUUAUAGUGAUAGAGUUAUCUGUCUUUGGAUGGCAAAUGGACUCCUUGAGCAUCCAAAGCAAAAUCAAGAGUGGGAGGAUGUUGGCAAACGAUAUUUGAAUAAAUUACUAUCAAGGUGCCUCAUCCAAAAGGAGGAGGAUUUUCACUUGAAGUUUACCUUCAAAAUGCAUGAUCUGGUACAUGAUCUUGCAUUAGCUGUGUCUCGAAGAGAGUGUAAAAUAAUGAAUUCCAAAACAAAAACGGUUGAUGAAAAUGUUCGACAUCUGUUUUUAUGUGAUGAGAAGUUGGUUGAAGUUCCGCGUGUUUUGGAGAAAUUGGAAAAAGUUCAAACAGUAAUCGUCCAAGAUAGUUCACUAAGAUCAAAGAUUUUUGAUAAAUCUCUUAUAAAUCUUUGUGUCUCCAAUUUCAAGUAUCUACGAGCAUUAGAAUUAAGAGAUUCACUACUGACAGCUUUACCGAAUUCCAUUGGUAACUUGAAGCACUUACGAGAGCUUGACUUGGCCCGAUCUGAGGAUAUACGUGAACUUCCAAGGUCUUUUUAUAAGCUUUACUGCUUGCAAUCGUUAAAUUUGGGAGCUACUAGUUUGAAGCAGUUGCCCGACAGCGUGCAAAGGUUGAUUGAGCUUAGACAUCUUGUAAUAACCAUUGAAGCUAAGCAUUUGAAAGAAAUACGAGCAGGAUGUUGGACUUCUCUUCAAUACUUGGAAUGUAUAACUGUUUCGAAUUAGAAUGUUUACCUGAAGGAAUGCAGUAUCUGAAGUCACUUCGAACACUUCUCGUGAGUUACUGUCAUAGUCUUGUCUCAUUGCCCCGGAGCCUGAAAUUCCUAACCAAGUUAGAACACCUUGAAAUAGUGAGGUGCCUUCGAAUCAAUAUGAAAAUGGAACUAGAAGAGGAAGAAGACAAAGACCUUCAGUUGAGCCUUAAAACUUUCUCACUCUUCGGAUUACAUGAAUUAAGAGAUUUGCCACGAUUGCUUCUUCAAGGAUCUUCUUCCACUUUGCAGCAAUUACGAAUUAGGGGGUGUCCAAACUUGUCCUUUCUACCAGCAUGGCUACCGAAUCUCACUUCUCUUCAAAAACUUGAGAUUGCUAAUUGCAUAAAUUUGUCAGCUCUACCGGAGGGAAUAGACCGCCUCACCAACCUUAAGGAAUUGAGAAUUUACGGAUGUCCGGAGUUGAGCAAAAGAUACAGAGAAAAUGGGGGUAAAGAUUGGCACAAAAUUGCUCACAUCCAAAAGGUUGAUAUUUACUAUUGAAGAAUAAGGUAUGUGGUAAAAUUUUAAUUUCUCUAUCAGAUUUGAUUUCAUAUUAUCUCUCCCUUUUAUAUGUUUAAUGUUCGUUAAGUACUCAUUGUGUUUGGAAACAUUGCAUGUGUGAAAUGUGAAGAUGGAGAUGGAUGAAUGAAGCUAAGGGUGAGGCUUUUACUUUAUUUGCAUUCAGAUUUCACAGUUGAGAGUUGUAAUUCUAAUUACUGAGCUUUUUAUUUGGAUAUUUCAAAUGCCUUCAUGCUAUGGAUUGUAAUGUAUAAAAUUUUAUGCAUAUUUAUGUAUUCUCAUGGUUGGUUUGUCUUUAUAAUUUAGUAUAUAGAUAAAUUGGUUAUCCAAUUAUAAAAAAGUUACAAAAUGUAUGAGGUGCUAAAUUGGUACAUUUUGAUUUGGUAAUUAUAACUAUAGCAUUGGUAGGUUUUUGAGCAGGUUUAUAAUCAUCAAAAUGUAUCUUAGCUCACUUCCAAAUCUUGAUUUUGUAAUAAGCAUCAAAAGAUUUAUUUUUGAGCUACACAGUUUAGCACAUAGCUGUUCGUUACACAUGGGUUGAUGAUACGAUCAUGUGAGCUAUAGAAAUUAAGAUUCUUUUGAACCACACAGUUUUCGCUUGUCACACGGGCUAACGGCAUGCCUAUGUAGGUACUGUAGGUUAAGUUAUAUAAUUUGUACACGGUCACAAUUAAUUAUACAGUUUAAUCACACGGUUACAUAGAAUAAUUUAAUUAAAUCAAUAAUUAAUUGAUUAGUUCUAUAAUUUAAUCAAUUCAAGUAUCUGACUCAAUUUGUAAUGAGAGGAAUUUACAAGAUUACAAUCAUCAAUAGAGAAAUAUACAACUGAUAAAUACUCCUAAAAUUACUUAUACACCAUGACAUAUACAUUCAUAUAUCUGAUCGAUUCAAUAAUGGUUUUAUGAUUAAUCAUAUAUUUUUAAAUUACUUGUACAUCACAUUAAUUCUACAUAAAUUACUUGAUUUACAGUUUAUUUUAAUUUAAUAUAAUAUUCUGAAAAGUUUCAAAAAUAAUAAAUGAUAAAUAAUAUUAAACUUGGUAUGAAAAGUGAUAAUACAUCCAAUUUACAUGUUUAUCACGCUUAAUUUUGAUAAAUUCUUGAAUGAGAUGCUACUAAUUUUGGACCUAUUUUGAUUUUUGAUUAGGUGCAAAAGCAAACCCGAAAAGUUAAAAGAGUCAAAAAUGUAAGCGGUUGUAAAAGUUUUGAGCCAAAGAACGAAUUAAUGGAUAAUGAUCUAUUUUAAAAACUUUUAUUUUUGGAUUUAUUUGAAAAAUAAAUACUUUUAAUUUUACUUUAUUUUUAAAUAACUCUUCAAUAUUAGAUUGAUGAGUAUAAGUAGAAUUAGGGUUUUAGGCGAGGUACAAGGAGGGAGAAUGGAAUGGGGAAUUGAACUUCCUUCCCUGUUCUCAAUUCUGUUUUAACUCUUUUCUUUACUUGUGUAUUAUUGCACCAUUUACCUUUUUGUUUUAAACUGAUAAUUAAUAACCCUAUAGAUAGCGGUGAGAUCUGAACCCGCAUUUCAAAACUUUCGUUUCAAUGUUUAUUGUUUUUGCGGUUUAGGAGAUAGACUUCAUAGUCUCACAAAAUUAUAUUGGCAUCAAAUUAAAAAGAGUUUGUUGAUUCAGUAUUGAUAGGCAUACAGUUAGAAAUACUGAGUUGAUCGUUUAUCAUAUUCAAUCUACUGAAGAACACAUUGACAUAUCCAAUUAAGUAGUUAGUUAGAUUCUGUUAGGAGGAAAUAGCAGUCAGUUUUGAAACUGUUGAGGCCAUUGGUUCAAGUUGGGUCAUUCUAGUUCGCAAGGUUAUCAGAGUUAAAUCGUGGAUUCGUGUUUCGUAGUUCUUCAUUCAAUAAAGGUUAGUUGUUAGACGUUCUUGCAAUAAAUUUACACAUACAAAGGUUAAUAGUUCAAGGCAUCCUCGAUUAUUAUAAUUAACUUAUCGAUCAAAGGAGAAGACUUGCUGUUAAAAUAUUUAUCGUAAAUUUAGUCAUAUAUAAACCCUAAAUAAAAUACUUCUUAUACAUAUUAAAGCCAAACCAUUUAUUUAUCCAACUUAUAUUUAUUUUGGUAAAAGAAGACUUAUAUUUAUUUACUUUAUUCCUAAAACUUCAAAGUUUCAAAAAGAGUCUUAAAUUUUAUUUUUCAACCAUUCCCCCAUUUAACCUAAAAAAAUCCUUCUCCAUCCAAAACAAACGCUUAACUAUGCAAAUAUUCAAAUUAUAUUACCAUAUAUAAUUUAUGAAUUUAAUUUAAAUAAUAUUUUUAAUCCACAUAUCGGUAAACUAUUAAAAUAGUUACCUUUUUUUAUUUCAAGUUACAUUUUAGUCACUUACGUUAAUAUUUUUUUACGAAAUCAUCACUCUGCCAUUACAUUUAAAUAAUAUUUUUAAUCCAUAUACCUUUUAAUGGGUAAACUAUCAAAAUAGUUACCUUUUUUUACUUCAAGUUACAUUUUAGUCACUAUUGUUUGAAAUGUUACAUUUUAAUCACUUACGUUAAUAUUUUUUUACAAAAUCAUCACUCUGCCGUUAAUACUCGUUAUUUCCCAAACAGUAGUCCAAUAUGACAGUUAAAAUAAAUUUUAAAUGUCAAAGGUAGAGUGACCAUUUUCUUCAUAAAACGAUAACAAAAGUAACCAAAAAUAACAUUUUAAACAUAAAUAAUUAAAAUAUAACCUAAAUCAAAUAAAAAUGUUUAUUUUUAAUUUAUCAACACAGCGUAGUUAAGUUCCACCCAAGUCAACUAUAAAGCCUAGUCAACAAUCAAAAGCAGAUAUUUGGCUGAACCACAACCACAAAAUUUGGUGCAUUGCUGCUUCGAUAUGAACAGAAAAAAAUAAAAUCAUUAUUGAGUGCCACAAUCAUUAAUUUGCCUUCCUUCCCCUCAAUCAUUCAAGCUUUGCUCUAUAAAUUCAAUUAUGGCGGAGUUUCUGUUCAAUAUUGCAGAAAGGGUUGUCGAGAAAAUUGUCGGUCUCACUGUAGACGAAGUUCGCUUGGCGUUGAAUGUCAAAACCGAUCUGAAAAAGCUGGAGGACACCAUGAUCAGCAUUAAAGCUGUGCUCUUGGAUGCCGAGCGGCAACAGCACCAAAAUGAAAAGCUGCGCCUCUGUAUGCGGAAGCUCAGAGACAUCUUUUACGAUGCUGAGGACGUUAUUGACGAUUUCAAGUGUGAAGCUCUCCGGAAACAGGACGCCAUCAAUCAUCCCGACAUCAACAACUUAAAGGUGCGAGUUUUAGGUUCCUGUUGUUUGUCUCUUUCAUUCUCUUUAAAAAUGAGUCAUAAAAUCAAAGACAUCAAUGGGAGACUAGGCNNNNNNNNNNNNNNNNNNNNNNNNNNNNNNNNNNNNNNNNNNNNNNNNNNNNNNNNNNNNNNNNNNNNNNNNNNNNNNNNNNNNNNNNNNNNNNNNNNNNNNNNNNNNNNNNNNNNNNNNNNNNNNNNNNNNNNNNNNNNNNNNNNNNNNNNNNNNNNNNNNNNNNNNNNNNNNNNNNNNNNNNNNNNNNNNNNNNNNNNNNNNNNNNNNNNNNNNNNNNNNNNNNNNNNNNNNNNNNNNNNNNNNNNNNNNNNNNNNNNNNNNNNNNNNNNNNNNNNNNNNNNNNNNNNNNAAUUUGAUCUUUCUAGAUUGCUUAAGCUGAUUAUUCAUUCUGUAAAUAAAGGAGAAAGAUGCGAUGAUUCAACACUUGACGCCUUGCAAGCUCGUUUGAGAAGCCUUUUGAAUGAUAAGAAGUUCUUGCUCGUCCUGGAUGAUGUGUGGAAUGAAAAUAAAGCAAAAUGGGCUGAGUUAAGAAAUUUGUUGAGAUCGACGGAUGGAUUUUCUCCAAGCAAAAUUAUUGUCACCACUCGGAGUUUGAACGUGGCCUCGAUAAUGAGUUCAAUUCCCCCGUAUAUUUUGAAAGGUCUCCCUCUUGAAGACUGUUUGACCUUAUUUACAAAAUGGGCUUUUGAUGAUGGUGAUGAGAGACAUUAUCCAAAUCUCAUUAGAAUCGGCGAGGAGAUUGUGAAAAAAUGCAAAGGGGUUCCUUUGGCAGUAAGAACAUUGGGAAGCCUACUGUUUCAGAAAACGGAUGAAUCUNNNNNNNNNNNNNNNNNNNNNNNNNNNNNNNNNNNNNNNNNNNNNNNNNNNNNNNNNNNNNNNNNNNNNNNNNNNNNNNNNNNNNNNNNNNNNNNNNNNNAAAUAUGGAGACUUGAACAACAUGAACACGAUAUUUUACCAGUGUUGAAGUUGAGUUACAAUCAUUUGCCAUCUCAUUUGCAACGAUGUCUUGCUUUUUUGUCCUUGUACAAAAAGGAUGAGAUCUAUUAUAGUGAUAGAGUUAUCUGUCUUUGGAUGGCAAAUGGACUCCUUGAGCGUCCAAAGCAAAAUCAAGAGUGGGAGGAUGUUGGCAAACGAUAUUUGAAUGAAUUACUGUCAAGGUGCCUCAUCCAAAUGGAGCAGGAUUUUUGGUUGUAUUUUACAUUCAAAAUGCAUGAUCUGGUACAUGAUCUUGCAUUAGAUGUGUCUCAAAAAGAAUGUAAAACAGUGAAUUCGGAAACAGAAACGGUUGAUGAAAAUGUUCGACAUUUAUUAUUCUGUGAUGAGAAGUUGGUUGGAGUUCCACGUGUUUUGGAGGAAAUGAAAAAUGUUCGAACAGUAAUCAUCCAAGAUGCUUCAAAGGAAUCAAAGACUACUCAUGAAUCACUUAUAAAUCUGUGUCUCUCCAACUUCAAGUAUCUUCGAGCAUUAGAAUUAAGGAAGUCACCAUUGAUGGCUUUACCAAAUUCCAUUGGUACCUUGAAGCACUUACGAGACCUUGACUUGGUCGGAUGUAGGAGUCUACGUGAACUCCCGAGGUCUUUCGAUAAGCUUCGCAGCUUGCAAUCGUUAAAUUUGGGAGAUACUGGUUUGAAGCAGUUGCCUGACAGCGUGCAAAGGUUGAUUGAGCUUAGACAUCUAGAAAUAACCAUUAAAGCUACGCAUUUGAAAGAAAUACGAGCAGGAUGUUGGACUUCUCUUCAAUACUUGGAAUUGAGGUGGUGUAUGGAAUUAGAAUGUUUACCUGAAGGAAUGCAGUAUCUGAAGUCACUUCGGACACUUGUCCUGAAGCACUGUGAUAGUCUUGUCUCAUUGCCACGGAGCCUGAAAUUCCUAACCAAGUUAGAACACCUUUAUAUAAAAUUUUGCAGUAGUAUGAAUUUGAAAAUGGAACCAGAAGAGGAAGAAGACAAAGACCUUCAGUUGAGCCUUAAAACUCUCACACUCUUCGGAUCACAUGCCUUAAGAGAUUUGCCACGAUUGCUUCUUCAAGGAUCUUCUUCCACUUUGCAGCAAUUACGAAUUGCGUUUUGUCCAGACUUGUCCGCUCUACCAGCAUGGCUACUGAAUCUCACUUCUCUUCAAAAACUUGAGAUUAAGGGUUGCUUUAAUUUGUGGGAUCUACCGGAGGGAAUAGACCGCUUCACCAACCUUAGAGAAUUGACAAUUGACGGAUGUCCGGAGUUAUGCAAAAGAUACAGAGAAAAUGGGGGUGAAGAUUGGCACGAAAUUGCUCACAUCCAAAAGGUUGAUAUUUACGAAUGAAGAAUGAGGUAUGUGGUAAAAUUUUAAUUUCUCUAUCAGAUUUGAUUUCAUAGUAUCUUCCCCUUUUAUAUGUUUAAUGUUCGUGAAGUACUCAUUGUGUUUGGAAACAUUGCAUGUAUGAAAUGUGAAGAUGGAGAUGGAUGAAUGAAGCAAAGGGUGAGGCUUUUACUUUAUUUGCAUUCAGAUUUCACAGUUGAGCUUUUUAUUUGGAUAUUUCAAAUGCCUUCAUGCUAUAGAUUGUAAUGUAUAAAAUUUUAUGCAUAUUUAUGUAUUCUCAUGGUUGGUUUGUCUUUAUAAUUUAGUAUAUAAAUAAAUUGGUUAUCCAAUUAUAAAAAAGUUACAAAAUGUAGGAGGUGCUAAAUUGAUUAUCCAAUUAUAAAAAAGUUGUGCUAAAUUAGUACAUUUUGAUUUGGUAAUUAUAACUAUAGCAUUGGUAGGUUUUUGAGCAGGUUUAUAAUCACCAAAAUGUAUCUUAGCUCAUUUCCAAAUCUUGAUUUUGUAAUGACCAUCAAAAGAUUUAUUUUUGAGCUACACAGUUUAGCACAUAGCUGUGUGUUACACAUGGGUUGAUGAUAUGAUCGUGUGACCUAUAGAAAUUAAGAUUCUUUUGAACCACACAGUUUUCGCUUGUUGCACGGGCUGACGACAUGCCCGUUUGGGUACUGUAGGUCAAGUUAUAUAAUUUGUACAUGGUCACAAUUAAUUAUACAAUUUAAUCACACGGCCGUGUGAUUUUUGGAGAAUUCUUAUAUUUAGGUCCACACGGUUACAAUGAGUUCACAUAGUCUAGAUACAUGGUUAUGUGACCCUUGUUUGUUGAAGUUUCAAUACUUUUUGCUAAAUUUUCAAUGAAGUCUUUAGUUGUUCCCUUGUAUAUUCCAAAUAUAUAGUUUUUUUUAGAAUAAUGGAUUAAUGUAAAUUUGACAAACUAAAAAUAAUUUAAAUUAAAUAUUAUUAAAUAAUUUUAUAAAAUUAUUAUAUUAUAUUAAAUAUAAAUAUAAUUAGUAAAUAAUAUAUAAAAACUAGUUUUUUCACCCGUGUGAUUCACAGACUUACGGUAUAAAUUAAUUAUUUUUAAGAGUUAUAAAAUUCUAUAAAAAAUAAAUAUAAUAAAUUAAUUAAUAAGUAAAUUUAAACAAUUUAAAUGUGCAAAUGGUAAUAGUGAUUAUGGUUAUAAAAUAAUCAUUGCACCUUUAAUUAAUAAUAGUGUAAAUUAAUACUUAUAUAUAGACGUAUGAGUUUAUUAUAUUUAAAUUAAAAUAUUUGUAUUUAUAAAAUAUUUACAUAUAUUAUAAAUUAGUACAUAUAUAAAGAUUUAAUUAAUUCAUAUUUUUUAUAUAAAAAUAUUUACGCACUAUAAUUUUAGUGUAUAUGCUAAGAUUUAAUUAAAUUUAAAUUUAAAUUUCUAAUAAAAAUAAAAAUAAAAAUUAUUUUUAAUAAAAAUAGUAAAAAACAUAUUUUUAUUUAUAUGGUAAAAUAGUAAAGAAAUGAACAUUCAUUCAUAAGGUGAAUGUGAGUACGGGAGUAUUCUUUAGCAAAUGUGAGGGUAAGUGUGAGUAUAAGAGAGUUCUCUAGCUAGUGUGAGAAUAAAAAGUGAUAUAUAAAAAUAUAUUUUAAUUAAUACGAUAUUAAAAUUAACUUUUUAAAUAAAAAUAGUACUAAAAUUAACUUUUUUUUAUGAUAAAAGUAAAGAAAUGAGUUAUGAGAAUAUUCUUUAAUUAAUGUGGGUUAAAAUUAAAUUUUAAUGAAAAAGUGAAGAAAUAAACGCUUAUUUAUAGAGUAAGUGUGAGCUUUGAUUUUCAAAAUUGAUGAGGAUUAAAUUGCUAAAUUUUUUUGAGAAUGAUCAAUUUUGUCAAUAUUAGAAUUGAAAAGGAGUGGAGAGAUGUUUUUACCAAUCUACAUAAAAAUUGAAAUUUAUCCUAUUGAGCUAUUAAUGAUAAUAAAAACAAUCAAUUAAACUCUUCCGUUAAUGGAAAUUGUUAGUAGAUCGGUUUGACUAUUAACAGUAAAAAAAAUUAAAACAUCAUUUUAAAAUUGAUAAAAAAUAUAUACAUCUAGAAUGAAUCUGGAUAAUAAUUUGUCCAUAUUCAUUCUAUAUGAGUGUAAAACUAUAAAAAUUUAAAAAUUAUAAAGAUUAUAAAAAAGUUUUAAAUAUGUAAAAGAUUAAAAAAAUAAAAAAUAAAAAUAAUUUAUAAAAAAUUAAUAAAAAUGCACAUUUAGAGUGAACUUUAGCCAUCCUCGAGUAUCUUCUUGUAAUGCCACAUGUUAUGUCGGGUGAGAGUAUAACAACACUAAUUGAUUAAAAUUAUAUAUAAUUGAAAAAAAAUAUUUAUUAUGAUUAAUUACUUUUAUUACUGAUAGAAAUUAAAUUACUCAAAAUUAUUGAGAAGGAGUGGAGAGAUGCUUUUACCAAUAUACAUAAGAAGCCUUUUGAUAUAUUGAGAUUUAAAUUUACUUGUGGGCUGUGCCGACAGGCGUUUGUAGUCCAACGGUUAGGAUACUUUCACACCAGAUAAAUUAUUGUUCAAGUUCAUUUAAAUUUAGAUAAUUAUUUAUCUAAAUUUAUUUUGUAUGAGUGUAAAAUUAUAAAAAAUUUAAAAAUUAUAAAUUUUAUAAAAAGAUUCAAAUAUGUAAAAGAUUCAAAAAAAAUAUUAAUAUUAAUAAUUUAUAAAAAAUUUAAUAAAAAACACAUUUAGAAUGAGCUUGAGCCGUCCUUGGGUGUCUUAUUGUAGUGCCACGUGUUGCGCUGGGUGAGGAUAUAACAACACUAAUCAAUCAAAAUUAUAUAUAAUUGCCAAAAUAAUAUUUAUUGUGAUUAAUUGCUUUUAUUUGUUACUUUUCAAAAUUGAUAGGGAUUAAAUUGCUCAAAUUUUUUAGAAGGACCAAUUUUCUCAAUAUCAAAACUGAGAGGGGGUGAAGAGAUGUUUUUACCAAUAUAUCAUGGGGGACAUAGAGACUAUUAAUAUAUUUAAAUUUUAAGUUUAACUUAUGCAGCAUCAGGGGUUUGUAGUCCAACGGUUAGGAUAAUUGCCUUCCAAGCAAUAGACCUGGGUUUGACUCCCGACAAACGCAGUUGGAUUUUUCAUUUUAAGCAAUUUCCUUUUUUCCUUGUUCUCCGAUGGAAUGAAGGUGGUAACUGGUGAGUGUUCGUUGGAUAACAGUCUGAUAACUAAUAGUUCAUAAAAUACUCCCUUUGAGAACGCAAGAUGCAAAUGUCCAUGAAUAUGCGGUCAAAGCAAAAGUAUAAGUGUUCAUUUUUCUCCAAGAACAUCUAUCCUAUAUCUAAAUAUAGAGCUAUAAUCUUUAUGAAAAUCUAGAAAAAGAAGUUGAUAUAUUUAUUGUACAAGCCCAUUUGCCCGGGCCCAACAAACAAAACAAAAUAGACCUAACUAUCCAAUUACGCCCACCAGCUCAAUAAGCCCAAAAUUUAAAAAGCCCAAUGCCCAUUUUCAGAAAAAAACAAAUCAGCCUAGGGUUUCAGAAACUGAAACCCUAGCCCCUAACUAAGUGGCGCCGCAAGCCUCUUCUGACUCUUAGUCUACUGGCCGCCGCCCUCUGUCGACAUGGCCCACUUGCACCGCCACGGUCACAUCCGUCCUCACCUGCCCUCUGCUACUGCCAGUCUCCUGCAAAUACACAACAAAAAUCAACAACAUAAGGGAAAACAGAGAUUCAUUGUGAUUUUCUUUUCUUUCGGCUAUAAAGCCGAAAUUGUAAAAACAAAGAAAGGGGGGAGGCUUCAUCACUGUAAUCGGGUCUUUUCCUUUUCUUUUGUAACAUUUUCACAACACAAUAGUUAAUGAAAAAAGGCAGAGAAAACAUUUAAAGGUUGAUUCAGACUUUUUAUUCUUUUUUUCUGUUCGUUUUUAUAUUUGUUUGUUUUUUUUAUAUACGAAUUUAUCUCAACAAAAACGAAAUAAAAAAGGAGAAAGAACCUUACCUGAAUCGUCUCGCAAGCGUCGUCGCCGGAGUCCUACUUCGGGUCACCGAAAUUGGGCGGGGAAGGCGGCGAUUUGAUUUUUCUCUCGCGACCCCGAGGCCAUGAAGACUUGGUCUUCAGUUGGUCCUUGAAGCAGGGUUUAAAAACCCGACGUUUGGGCUUCUGACCACCGCUCACGGCGGGGUCGACGGUGGCCCAUUUGGCCGGCGACGGGGGGGAGUUGAAAGAAGAAUGGUUUGUUUCUUUCUUUCUUCUGCAGUUUUUUUUUAAAGAAACCCUAGAAAUGAUUUUUUUUAAAGAAAAUUGGGUUUAAAUACCCUAAACAAAACGGCACCGUUUUAGCCCCUUCGACCCGCGCGGUGACCCGACCCAGAGGAGGAUCCGCGUGUUUUCCUUAAAUGGUAUAAUUGCACGCGCAGUCCCUCAAACUUUACAACGCGUUGCAAUUUGGCCCUUGUUUCGUUGUUUUCUGUUAUUUUAAUUUGGCCACAAAGUUUUAUUGUUGUUUCAAUUUAGUCCAUUGCAGUGCUGCGUUUUGGAUGUCUUGGUUUAUUUACUUUUUUGGUCCCUUUCCUCUCGGCGCACGUUGCAACUUAAUCCUUCUCGUUUUUUUUAAAUUCGCCCAGUAUCUUUAUCUCUAUUUCAAUUUAGUCCCUUUUUUAGUAAUUCUAUUAUUAUUAUUAUUAUUAUUAUUAUUAUUAUUAUUAUUAUUAUUAUUAUUAUUACUUACUUAUUAUUUAGUUUAGUUAUUAUUACUUAUAUUAUUAUUANNNNNNNNNNNNNNNNNNNNNNNNNNNNNNNNNNNNNNNNNNNNNNNNNNNNNNNNNNNNNNNNNNNNNNNNNNNNNNNNNNNNNNNNNNNNNNNNNNNNAAUUUUAGAUAUUAUUAUAUAUUUGCUUAUAUAUGUACAUACGUAUAUGUAUAUGUAUGUUUUCUUUUUGUUUGUUUUUCUUAACCUCUUUAAUAUAUACAUAAAUACUUUUUUUUAUAUGUAUAUCUAUAUAUAUGUAUAUCUCAUCUUCAUAAAUGUAUAUUUAUAUGUAUAUAAAGAUAUAUAUUCUUAUAUAUUCAUCAUAUUUUUAAAAAAUAUAUUGUUUAUAUGCUUUAUACUUUGUGAUUUGUAUAUAUACUUAUACUUACAUGUAUAUAUAUAUAUAUAUUUAUAUUUGAUUAUGGUUAUAUACAUGUAUGCGCAUAUGUGCUUAUGUAUUUUCAUGUAUAAUAGUUUCAAUAUGUGUACAUGCAUAUGCUUUUUUCAUAUUUUCAUAAUUUUAUACAUGUAUACAUGUCUUUUAUUGUUUUUAUAAUUUUGUUAGUCUUGUUCGUUUAUUUAUGUACAUGUUUGUUUUUCUUGCUUUAGUUUUUAUCUGUUUAUCAUUUUGUUCGUUUAUUUAUGUACAUGUUUGUUAUUGUUUUUCUUGCUUUAGUUUUUGCCUGUUUAUCAUCUGUCAUGAUGCCUGCCCGAUUGCUUUUAUAUUAGUCUUAUCACUUAUUUAUAUUUUGUUUUGCAUGAUUAUUUUACUUACAUUAUCAUCAUCAUUUCAUUACACCCAAUUUUUUUAGAUUUCAAGAAAGAAAUUUUAAAAAUAUAAGUAAUAUUCGAUAUUUUAAAUCUUCGAAAGAAUCGAGCCCUAACGUAUUGGGUUUCGAUUUUCUUCGUUGAAUCUAAAUAAUCGAGAUUACUCUUUUAAGAAUAAUAAUAAAAAGCUCAUUAUCGGGAAUUCAAUAUGUUAUGUCCUAACGCAUUGGAUAUGACACGCUGUUUUCCUGAUAUAAGAAUUUUUUCUAAAAAAAAAAUUCAAAAUAAGGCAAUAUUUUGCGUUUAGAAAUUCGAGAAAACAUGUCCUAAGGUGCUGGGUAUCGAUUUUUUUCGUUCAACCAAAUGGCUUAAUAUCUUUUUUAAAAAUUUCAAAAUAUGGCAAUGUUUUGCAUUUGGAAAUUCGAGAAAACAUACCCUAAGGUGCUGGGUAUCGAUUUUUCUCGUUCAACCAAAUGGCUUAAUAUCCUUUUUAAAAUUUUCAAAAUAAGGCAAUGUUUUGCGUUUGGAAAUUCGAGGAACGUACCCUAAGGUGCUGGGUUUCGAUUUCUCGUUUAACCAAGUUGCCAAAUAUCCUCUUGAAUUUUAAUUUAUGCCAUUCGAGUUUUUUUUUUGGAUCGUAUUUUAAAUUUCUUUAAAGUUUUCAGUUUUUUGACACUAAGGCAUUAAUUAAUCAACUAGGUACCAAUUUUGGGCGUAUCGAGGGUGCUAAUCCUUCCUCGUGCGUAACCGACUCCCGAACCCAUUUUUUUGAAUUUCGUGGACCAAAAUCGUUGUUUUAAUAAAAUUAAAUCGUUUAUUAAAAACAACCACUUUUUGAGGUGAUCCGAUCAUACCUCAUCAAAAAGGAUCGGUGGCGACUCUCAUUUUCGUUUUCAUUUUCUAAAAUCCCAGUCGACCCCGUUUUUCAUCCAAAAAAUAGUGUCAACAUUUAUAUUAGACAUAUACCAAAAUUAACUCUUGAGUGAAAAACUACAUUAGUCUUAACUUGAAUAAGAUGUUGAAAUGCACAUCAUUUUUCAGUUAAUGAAAUCAUUAUAUUUUCGACUAAUGUAAUUUCUCGUUAACUUGAAAAAUUACAAUAAUUCAUGCAUUAAAAUUUAUGUAUAAUAUAAAUGAAAUAAAAUAUUUUAUUUUUAUAAAUUUUAUAUUUAAUUAUUCUAAUACUAGAUAUUGAUUAUUUAAGAUAUGUAUUGAUUGUCUAUCAUAUUUGAUCUAUCGAAAAACACAUGGCCAUGUGUAGUUCAGUAGUUGGUUGGAUUCUGUCAAAGGAAAUAGUAAUUAGAUUUGAAGCAGUUGAGGUCGUUAGUUAAAGUUGGACCCUUCUAGCUCGCAAGGCUAAAGAGCUAAAUUGUGGACGUGUUUCAUGAUUGUUCGUUCAGUAAGGAUUGAUUGUUAAAUAUUCUCGCAAUUAAUUUAAAAACAAUUUGAGUUUGAACAUAAUGAAAAAGAUCAAUAGGUUGAAAGUCGAAAAACAAAUUAGACUGCUAUUGUAAAAAAAUAUAAAUACAAUUUCAAUUAAAGUUUAUUAAUAUAAUGACUUGAUUAUAAUAAAAAAUAUUAAAUUUUCAUUGUGACUCAAACCAUUAUUUUUAAUCCGAUAAAGGUAGUGAUAGUUUUGAUGAAAUUAUGACGCGAGGGGGAGUGUUGGGGUUACUCUUUAUUAGACUUUUAACAAAAAGAUGAAAGUUUUGAUACAAGGUACGGAGCCAACAAACUGAAAAUAUGAUUGUUGAAAGAUUCACAUGAAUGCAAGGAUGAAUCUAGCUAAAUUGGGAGGGUUUGGAAAAAAUAUAGGUUCAAAAAAUAAGUUUAGACAAAAAAAUUGUUUAAAAAUUAGGUUGGAUCUCGAGUAAAAUUUUUUUAGCCCAAGCUCGGUUUGAUUUGAAUUAGCAAAAAGACAAAAGAAAUCUACUAUUUUCUUGUUAUCGCAUUGAUUUGUUACCAUUUUUUGGAUAGAAGAAAUCUUGUUUUAUUGCUAAUUUUAUUACUAUUUUAGAGGUAUUUUUUUAUUUAAGUAUAAAUAUUUUUAAUUUAUUUUCCAAUUUUUAGGAAACAUUUAAUUUACUAUUUUUAGUAUCUUUAAUGUAUUAAUUGUUUAGAUUUUUUUAAUAUGAAAAAAUUUUAAUUUUGCCACAUUGGAUUAAGCCUGAAUUUUAACAUUUUUAUUUAAGUCGAAUUUAGAUAAAAUAUUAAAUCUAAUUUUCAAAUCGAGCUUAAAAUUUUGACAAAACUUAACGCAAUAAAUAAAUCCAGCAAAUCACAUCCUAUGAGAGAGAAAUUGUAUUAUAUAGGAUAAAUGGUAAUCUAAGUUAGAGAAGCUUUUUGUGGAAAUUCAUGAAGCCAAUAACAGGGUGAAGUACACAAAGAAUGAAGGUGGUUGGAAAGGAAUCUAACAUCUUAACAAAAAGUUAAUAAAAUACACCAAUGUAAAUGUUAAUUAAUUAAAUACACAUCAACAACAAUUUUUUUAUUCUUCUUCAAAAAUAAAAUAUUAAUACUAGUACUAAAAAUUAAAGUAACAUUUGAUAAUUAUUAGUCUUAAGAUAUUAUUAAGAGUAUUCAAGGAUCUUGAAGCAUUAGUAUUUAUGAACAGUUAAAUAGAUUAAUUUUGUAAAACAAAAUGAAGAGUAUUAAUAAGGCAAAAUCUUAUUUUUCCUAAGAAUUUUAUAACCCAAAUUUGUUUAUUUCUUUAAUAAUUUUACUAUUUAUAUUUCAAAUUCAUGAAUAGUUGAUGUUACAUCUUUACAAAGUUACACUUCCCCCUAUAAAAUAUUCAUAGGUUUGAUAAUUUCUUUCCUACAAGAUUUCAAGGACCCGAACAAUAUGUUAGCGUUAGCAGGUUAAGUCACAGGCACGUCGAACAGGAAGGCUUGUUUUUGUUUUUUUCUUUUUUCGAAUUUCGGGCUACAACAAGAAGUUCUUUGUUUGAUUUCUUACCACAAAAAAAGAAGAAAAAGAGAAAAAAGGAAGGGUCUUUCUUGAAUGCUGUACUGCCUCUCUUCUUUCUUUGCUCUUGAAAUUCAAUUAUGGCGGAAACGUUUCUUUUCGAUAUUGCAGAAAGGGUUCUCGCCAAAAUUGUCCAUCUCUCUGUAGACGAAGUUCGCUUUGAAACAUUGCAUGUAUGAAAUGUGAAGAUGAAGAUGGAAGAAUGAAGGCAAGGUUGAGGCAGGCCACCCAAGACUUUUACUUUAUUUGCAUUUAGAUUUCACAGUUUAGAAUUGUAAUUCUAGUAACUCUAGCUUUUGCUUUGGAGAUUUCAAAUGGCUUAAUUGUAAUGUUUGUUUGACAUCUCAAAUGGCUUCAUGCUAUGCCUUGUAACUCUUAACUUUAUGCAUAUUUAUGUUUUCUCAUCCUUCCUUUCUCUUUAUGAUUACCAAUUUGGCUUAAUGCAUCAUUUAAUCUCUAAAAUAUACUAUUUUUUUUCACUUUGGUCCUUACAACUUUUUCUAGCCCAAAUUAGGGCAUAAUUAGAAACAUGUGUAUACAAAUGAAUGAGAUUACAUUUAUACAUAACCUAUUCAAUUAAAUCAAUUAUUAAUUGAUAAUUAGAUAAUUCAAUCAAUUAUGUUUGUAGUUAGACACAUGUAUAUACAAGUUUAUUUGUCUACAUUUUUACAUAGUAUAAUUUAAUUAAAUCAACAAUUAAUUGAUAAGUUCUAUAAUUUAAUCAAUUCAAGUAUCUGACUUAAUUCAUAAUUAGAGGAAUUUACAAGAUUAUAACCAUCAAUGGAGAAAUAUACAACUGAUAAAUGCUCCUAAAAUUACUUAUACACCAUGACAUAUACAUUCAUAUAUCUGAUUGAUUCAAUAAUGGUUUUACGAUUCAUCAUAUAUUUUUAAAUGACUUGUACAUCAUUAAUUCUACAUAAAUUACUUGAUUUACUAUUUAUUUUAAUUUAAUAUAAUAUUCUGAAAAGUUUAUAAAAUAAUAAAUGAUAAAUAAUAUUAAACUUGAUAUGAAAAGUGAUAAUACAUCCAAUUUACAUGUUUAUCACGCUUAAUUUUGAUAAAUUCUUGAAUGAGAUGCUACUAAUUUUAGACCUAUUAUUUGAUUUUUGAUUAGGUGUAAAAGCAAACUCGAAAAAUUAAAAAAGUCGAAAAUGCAAGCUGUUGUAAAAGUUGUGAGCUUUUAUUUUUGGAUUUAUUUGUAAAAUAAAUACUUUUAAUUUUAUUUUUAAAUAACUCUUCAAUAUUAGAUUGAUGAGUAUAAGUAGAAUUAAGGUUUUAGGCUAGGUACAAGGAAGGGAGAAUGGAAUGGAGAAUUGAACUUACUUCCUUGUUCUCAAUUCUGUUUUAACUCUUUUCUUUACUUGUGUAGUAUUGCACCAUUUACCUUUUUAUUUUAAGCUAAUAAAUAACCCUAUAGAUAGCGGUGAGAUCUAAACUUGCAUUUCAAAACUUUCGUUCCAGUGUUUAUUAUUUUUUCAGUUUAGGAGAUAAACUUCAUUUUCUCACAAAAUUAUAUUGGCAUCAAGUUAAAAAGAGUUUGUUGAUUCAGUAUUGAUAGGCAUACAGUUAGAAAUACUGAGUUGAUCGUUUAUCGUAUUCAAUCUACUGAAGAACACAUUGGCAUGUCUAAUUAAGUAGUUAGUUAGAUUCUGUUAGGAGGAAAUAGCAAUCAGUUUUGAAACGGUUGAGGCCAUUGGUUUAAGUUGAGCCAUUCUAGUUCACAAGGUUAUCAGAGUUAAAUCGUGGACUCGUGUUUCGUAGUUAUUCAUUCAAUAAAGGUUAGUUGUUAGACGUUCUUGCAAUAAAUUUAUACAUAGAAAGGUUAAUAGUCCAAGGCAUCCUCGAUUAUUAUAAUUGACUUAUCGAUCAAAGGAGAAGACUUGCUAUUAAGAUACUUAUCGUAAAUUUAAUCAUUUAUGAACUCUAAAUAAAAUACUUCUUAUACCCAUUAAAGCCAAACCAUGUAUUUAUCUAACUUAUAUUUAUUUUGGUAAAAGGAGACUUAUAUUUAUUUACUUUAUUCCUAAAACUUCAAAGAAGCCCCAUCUUUAUCUUUUAAGUUUCAAAAGGAGGUUUAAAUUUUAUUUUUACUAAAAAAACAUUUUCUCAAUCCAAAACAAAUAUUUAAAUUAUAUUACCAUAUAUAAUUUAUGAAUUUAAUUUAAAUAAUAUUUUUAAUCCAUAUACCUUUUAAUGGAUAAAUUAUCAAAAUUGUUAUUUUUGUUUACCUCAAGUUACAUUUUAGUUAUUAUUGUUUGAAAUGUUACAUUUUAGCCACUUACAUUAAUAUUUUUUUAACGAAAUCAUCACUUUACCGUUAAAAUUUGUUAUUUCUCAAACGAUAGUCCAAUAUAACAGUUAAAAUGAGUUUUAAAUGUUAACAAUAGAGUGACCGUUUUCUUUAUAAAAUGAUAACAAAAGUAACUAAAAAUAAUAUUUUAAACAUAAGUGAUUAAAAUGUAACCUAAAUUAAAUAAAAAUGUUUAUUUUGAUAGAUUACCUCUUUGUUUUUUUAAUUUAUCAACACAGCGUAGUUAAGUUACAGCCAAGUCAACUGUGAAGCCUAGUCAACAAUCAAAAGCAGAUAUUUGGCUGAAAAAAAUAAAAUCAUUAUUGAGUGCCUCAAUCAUUCAUUUGCCUUCCUUCCCCUCAAUCAUUCAAGCUUUGCUCUAGAAAUUCAAUUAUGGCGGAAACGUUUCUGUUCAAUAUUGCAGAAAGGGUUGUCGAGCAAAUUGUCGGUCUCACUGUAGACGAAGUUCGCUUGGCGUUUAAUGUCAAAACCGAUCUGAAAAAGCUGGAGGACACCAUGUUCAGCAUUAAAGCUGUGCUCUUGGAUGCCGAGCGGCAACAGCACCAAAAUGAAAAGCUGCGCCUCUGUAUGUGGAAGCUCAGAAACAUCUUUUACGAUGCUGAGGACGUUAUUGACAAUUUCAAGUGUGAAGCUCUCCGGAAACAGGACGCCAUCAGUCAUCCCGUCAUCAACAACUUAAAGGUGCGAGUUUUAGGUUCCUGUUGUUUGCCUCUUUCAUUCUCUUCAAAAAUGAGUCAUAAAAUCAAAGACAUCAAUCGGAGACUAGGCGAACUGGCCACUGAGUGGAACAGCUUUGCUCUAAGUCAGUGUAACGACAGUAGACAUGUUUUUCGCAGAGAGACCAUCUCUUUUGUGGAUUCUUCUGAUGUUAUUGGUAGAGAUGAGGAUAAAGAGAACAUAAUUAGUAUGUUGAUGAAACCAAGUGAGGAUCAAAAUGUCCCUGUCAUUCCCAUUGUUGGACUUGGGGGUUUAGGAAAAACCACGCUCGAUCAAUUAGCAUUCAAUGAUGAUCGAGUUACUAGCCUUUUUCCUUUGAAGAUAUGGAUCUGUGUUUCUGAGGAAUUUGAUCUUUCUAGAUUGCUCAAGCUGAUUAUUCAGUCUGUAAAUAAAGAAGAAAGAUGUGAUGAUUCAACACUUGACGCCUUGCAAGCUCGUUUGAGAAGCCUUUUGAAUGAUAAGAAGUUCUUGCUCGUCCUGGAUGAUGUGUGGAAUGAAAAUAAAGCAAAAUGGGUUGAGUUAAGAAAUUUGUUGAGAUCAACGGAUGGAUUUUCUCCAAGCAAAAUUAUCGUAACUACUCGGACUUUGAAGGUUGCCUCGAUAAUGAGUUCAAUUCCCCCUUAUGAAUUGAAAGGUCUCCGUCUUGAAGACUGUUUGACCUUAUUUACAAAAUGGGCUUUUAAUGAUGGUGAUGAGAGACAUUAUCCAAAUCUCAUUAGAAUCGGGGAGGAGAUUGUGAAAAAAUGCAAAGGGGUUCCUUUGGCAGUAAGAACAUUGGGAAGCCUACUGUUUCAGAAAACAGAUGAAUCUGAUUGGAUCUAUAUAGGAGAGAGUGAAAUAUGGAGACUUGAGCAACAUGAAAACGAUAUUUUACCAGUGUUGAAGUUGAGUUACAAUCAUUUGCCAUCUCAUUUGCAACGAUGUCUUGCUUUUUUGUCCUUGUACAAAAAGGAUGAGAUCUAUUCUAGUGAUAGAGUUAUCUGUCUUUGGAUGGCGAAUGGACUCCUUGAGCAUCCAAAGCAAAAUCAAGAGUGGGAGGAUGUUGGCAAACGAUAUUUGAAUGAAUUACAGUCAAGGUGCCUCAUCGAAAUGGGGCACGAUUUUGGGUUGGUUUUUACCUUCAAAAUGCAUGAUCUGGUACAUGAUCUUGCAUUAGAUGUGUCUCAAAAAGAAUGUAAAACAGUGAAUUCGGAAACAGAAACGGAUGAUGAAAAUGUUCGACAUUUAUUAUUAUGUGAUGAGAAGUUGGUUGGAGUUCCACGUGUUUUGGAGGAAAUGAAAAAUGUUCGAACAGUAAUCAUCCAAGAUGCUUUAAAGGGAUCAAGGACUACUCAUGAAUCACUUAUAAAUCUGUGUGUCUCCAAUUUCAAGUAUCUACGAGCAUUAGAAAUAAGGCAGUCACUAUUGACGGCUUUACCGAAUUCCAUUGGUACCUUGAAGCACUUACGAGAACUUGACUUGGUCGGAUGUUGGAUUAUAGAUGAACUCCCGAGAUCUUUCGAUAAGCUUCGCAGCUUGCAAUCGUUAAAUUUGGGAGAUACUGGUUUGAAGCAGUUGCCUGACAGCGUGCAAAGGUUGAUUGAGCUUAGACAUCUAGUAAUAACCAUUACAGCUACUCAUUUGAAAGAAAUACGAGCAGGAUGUUGGACUUCUCUUCAAUACUUGGAAUUGAGGUACUGUAUGGAAUUAGAAUGUUUACCUGAAGGAAUGCAGUAUCUGAAGUCACUUCGGACACUUGUCCUGGGUGGUUGUGUUAAACUUGUCUCAUUGCCACGGAGCCUGAAAUUCCUAACCAAGUUAGAACACCUUGAAAUAGUGAUGUGCCAUCGAAUCAAUUUGAAAAUGGAACCCGAAGAGGAAGAAGACAAAGACCUUCAGUUGAGCCUUAAAACUCUCUCACUCAUCGGAUUACUUGCCUUAGGAGAUUUGCCACGAUUGCUUCUUCAAGGAUCUUCCACUUUGCAGUAAUUACGAAUUAUGGAGUGUCGAAAUUUGUCCGUUCUACCAGCAUGGCUACUGAAUCUCACUUCUCUUCAUAAACUUGAGAUUGUGGGUUGCAGAAACUUUUCAGCUCUACCAGAGGGAAUAGACUGCCUCACCAACCUUAGAGAAUUGAGAAUUCACGGAUGUUCGGAGUUGAGCAAAAGAUACAGAGAAAAUGGGGGUGAAGAUUGGCACAAAAUUGCUCACAUCCAAAAGGUUAUUAUUUGUUAAUGAAGAAUGAGGUGUGUGAUAAAAUUUUAAUUUCUCUGUCAGAUUCGAUUCCAUAUUAUCUUUCCGUUUAGAGUAGAGUAGAGACGUGGCUUUUGUCCAGAAUAGUCCGUUCUAACAGCAUGGUUUUGGUUGGAAAUUUUGUAUGUUUAAAGUUUGUUAAGUACUCAUUGUGUUUGGAAACAUUGCAUGAAUGAAAUAUGAAGAUAGAGAUGGAAGAAUGAAGCAGAGGUUGAGGCAGGGCAGGGAAGACAUUUACUUUAUUUGCAUUUGGAUUUCAGUUGUAAUUCUAAGAAGUGAGCUGUUGCUUUGGAUAUGUAUCAACUUUUAGCUUUAUGCAUAUUUAUCUUUUCUCUUUAUGGUUUAGCAUCAACUAAUUGUGUUUGUAUUUUUUAGUUUAAUUUUAUUAAUUGUUUAUUUUGUGAUGGAGAAAUGAUGCGGUUGUUAUAAAAUUAAUAUUAUAACAUAUUUAAUUUUUAAAAAUUACAUACUUUAUUGAUUCGAUCAUGAUUAUAAAAAAAAGUAAUUCUAAAGAAUUAAAAUAUAUUUAUAAAAUUUAAAAAUACAAAUUACAAAAUAAAAAAAUAAAAAAAUGUUAUUCUUACAUAUUAAUAAUUUCUUUUAAAAUUUUAAAACAUAGUUUGUAACUUGAAAUUUUUAACCCCUGAAUAUUGACAUCAACAUUGUUUCUUUUUUUUUUUUUGAAAUUCAAAAAAAAAAACAUUGUUUCUUUUUUUUUUUUUUUACUCAAUGCUUUGCUUGGUAGACCAAAAAAUAAAUAAAAAUUGAAGUGGUAGAAAAAUUGAAAAAUAUAAAUUUUCUGGUAGGAAAGAAAAUUUGAUAGAAAAUGUAAUUAUCUUUCUAACCAUUGCUUAGUAGAGUUGAGAAAUAACAAGAAAGAAAACAAAAUAUUUAAAAAAAUGUAUAAUUUUGAAACUAACAUACACAUAUCUCUCUCAUUUUCUCUCCAUUCAUCAUUCCAAUUUGAAAGAAUUAAUUUUCCAUAAAAAGUACCAAGGAUCUAAGCAUUAUGAAAGUAUCCACAUUCGCAUUGGUUUUUUUGUGAAUAUUAAACACAAUUUAGUUGGUUUAUAUGGAACAAAUUGCCGUUAUUUUUAAGCUUGUCUUAAUCUAUAAUAUAUAUAAAAGUAAGAAUUUAAUUUUUUUUGAAUCGACGAUAAUAUCCUUUAAUGUUCAUUUAAGUACUAAAUAAGCAUUAAAUAAAUAAUUAUUUUUUUAAAAAAUAAUAGAAUUUUUCUUCAUUUGAACUAUAUGGUUAAAAAUAUUAGAUAAAAUCAUAUCAAUAAUUUUUUUAUCAUAGAGUUCUUAUUGGUUUGAGUUACACAGUUGAGUAUAUUAAUUAUUAAUAAUAUAUAUUAUAUUAAAUCAGUUACCAUUUAAUUAGUGUUACAAUUAUAUUAUCAAUUUAACUUAAAUUUAUCAUUAUAAUUAGCAUUCAAGGGAGAAUAUUAAAAUUAGUAAAUUUGAAGUCUCAAAAAUAAUAAAGUUUCUUUUCUCCUUUUUCCAUUAGUUGGUUUGAAGAAUGAUAAUGGCAUUAAACCGAAUAAGUCUCUGAAACUAAUCCGAGAUCGAAUAAUCAAUAGCUAUACCAAUAUAGAAACCAAGAAAAUGCAUAUUCCUCAGUUGUCAAUGAUUGAUAAAUGAUUAGUACACGAAGCAACAAAGAAUGUCAUGAUACUGUCAGUAAUGUUUACCUGGCAUUUUCUUAUCUUGAUUGUCUUCAUGUUCAUCGUUAUCACUCGCAUCACCGGUUUGCUUGGAUGCUGUUGAAUCACGAGGUAGUGGUCCGGUAAUUGACAGCUGAUAAAGAACCCCUACGGACAGCGUAAAGAGGAGGCACGUGUAAUGCCACGUGUUAUGUCGGAUGAGGGUAUAACAACACUAAUUGAAUAAAAUUUAUAUAAUUGACAAAAAAAUAUUUAUUAUAAUUAAUUACUUUUAUUUGCUGAAUUUUAAAACUGAUAGAAGUUAAGUUAGUCAAAAUUAUUGAGAAAGAGUGGAGAGAUGCUUUUAACAAUAUACAUAAGAAGCCUUUCUAUAUAUUGAGAUUUAAAUUUACCUGUGGAUUGUGCCAAUAGGCGUUUGUAGUCCAACGGUUAGGAUACUUUGAUAGUGCGUUUGUAGUCCAACGGUUAGGAUACUUUGAUAGUGGAUAAAUUAUUGUUCAGGUUCAUUUAAAUUUAGAUAAUUAUUUAUUUAAAUUUAUUUUAUAUGAGUGUAAAAUUAUAAAAAAAAUAAAUAUUAAAAAUAUUAAAAAAAGAUUCAAAUAUGUAAAAGAUUCAAAACAAUAAAAAUAAAAUAUUAAUAAUUUAUAAAAAAUUAAUAAAAAAACACAUAUAGAAUGAACUUGAGCCGUCCUCGGGUGUCUUCUUGUAGUGCCACGUGUUGCGCUGGGUGAGGAUAUAACAACACUAAUCAAUCAAAAUUAUAUAUAAUUGCGAAAAGUCUAUUUAUUGUGAUUAAUUGAUUUUAUUUGUUGCUUUUCAAAAUUGAUAGGGAUUAAAUUGCUCAAAAUCUUUUAGAAGGACUAAUUUUCUCAAUAUCAAAAUUGAGAGGGACUGGAGAAAUGUUAUUACCAAUAUAAUUGGGGGACAUAGAAAGCCUAUUAAGAUAUUUAAAACUCAAGUUUACUUGACAGCUGCAGCACCAGGCGUUUGUAGUCCAACGGUUAGGAUAAUUGCCUUCCAAGCAAUAGACCCGGGUUCGACUCCCGGCAAACGCAAUUGGAUUUUUUCAUUUUAAGCAAUUUCCCUUUUUCCUUGUUCUCCGAUGGAAUGAAGGUGGUAACUGGUGAGUGUUCGUUGGAUUAAAAGAUGAGAGAGCCAUUUGCCUACCAACACCAAUCACACACAAAGAAACAUUUGUGAUACUCAAAAGAGUGUGCUAAAAUCCGUGGUAGAACCCCCUACCCCUACAUAUCAAGCCUUUAAACAAUUUAUCCCUUUUUUUUUUUUUAUUCAUCAAAGCUUCACCAUUAAAUUUCUCUAAGGGAAGAUGAAAAAAAAAAUAGGGAAUGUGAAAAAAAGGCUGAAUAAUUUACGUAAUAAUUUUCAAAUUUAAACAUCAAACUAUAGUUGCUCUUACUCUAAAGUUUUCUUUAGGUACUUCAUAUUAGCAUCCGGAUACAUGAUAAGUUUAUAGUAAGUUAUGUAUCAUGUUUUUAGAGAAAAGUCAUGAAUAUUAGAAUUAGUCUUGAGAUAUAAAUGUCCGAAUCACUUUCAACUUAUGAGUUACUUUUUAUGGACAAAAUCGUAAAACCAAAUAGUUUGAAGAAAAAAAAUACAUUUUCCAUCAUGACACUAUAGCAUAAGGUUAUCUUUAGUAUAAUUUUUUUCUUCAUUUCCCAUAACAUUUUUCCAUAAAUUGGUAUUAAAAAUGAAAAUGAUAUUAAAUCAGACAAAUGCCAUAUAUGAAAUGAAACAACAAAGAAUACCACAGAUUUUAUUAAAUAGUGAAAAGGGCUAAUCAUGUUUUUAGAUUAAGGUACUUUCAUAAGUAUGAAGUAUACUAAAGAUUUCGUAAACUCUGAUAUUCUUCUUUAACGUGGCUUAAACAAAAACAUGUUUAUCAAACAUUUUUCUUAUCUUAAUUCUCUUCAUAAUCAUCAUUAUCAUUCAAUUUACCUUGAAUCGCAAGAUAACAGUCCGAUAACUAAUAGUUGAUAAAGUACUCCCUUUGAGAAGGCAAGAUGCAAAUGCCCAUGAAUAUGCGGUCAAAGCAAAAGUAUAAAUGUUCAUUUUUCUUCAAGAACGUCUAUCCUAUACCCAAAUAUAGAACUAUAAUCUUUAAUGACCUUCCAAAUAUAUCAAAAUUUUGAUAAAAGUAAAUGUAACUUAUGAAAAUCUAGAAAAAGAAGUUGACAUAUUGAUUGUAACAGUCCGGUUUUGACCCUAAUCAGUGUUGACACCAUUUUUUUUGUGAAAACGGGGUCGACUUGGAUUUUGAAAACGAAAAUGAAAAUGGGAGUCGCCAUCAAUCUUUUUUUAUGAGGUGUGAUUGGGUCACCUCGAAAAAUAGUUGCUUUUAAUAAACGGUUUAGAUUUAUUAAAACAAUGCUUUUGGUCUGCGAAAUUCAGAAAAAAAAUGGUCGGGAGUCGAUUACGUACGAGGAAGGAUUAACACCCUCGUAACGCCCAAAAAUUGGUACCUAGUUGAUUAAUUGGUGUCUUAGUGUCGAAGAUUUGAAACUUUGAAGAGUUUUAAAAAUACGAUCCUAAAAAAUCUGUAUAAAUCAAAUUACCCGUUAAGGCCCUCUCAUUUCGGAGAGAGAAAAUGUCACACCCAAUGAGUUAGGGCAUUAUGUUUCACCUCCUCAAAAAUGAGCUUGUCCAAAAAAACUCACGCAAUAAAAUUUAAAAGGAUAUUCAAUUGUUUAAGUCAGAUGAAAAAAUCGCAACCCAAUACAUUAGGGCACAAUUUCUCAAAAUUCUAAACAUUGAAUAUUGCUUUUUUUUUUUUUUUAAAUCCUCAUCUCGAAAAAAAAUGUGUCAUAUCCAAUGCGUUAGGACACAACGUAUUGAAUCCCCGACAAUGGGCUUUUUAUGUUAUUAUUAUUAUUAUUAAAGAGCAUUCUCGAUUAUUAGAUUCAACGAAGAAAAUUGGAACCCAAUACGUUAGGGCUCAAUCCUCUCGAAUCUAAACACGAAAUUUUGCUUAUUCAAAAGUUGAAACUUUUGCGUCGAGAUAAAUUAAUCUAAUUUGGAAUAGUGGAAAUGAAACACGAGGUAAAUAUGCGUACAAAGCAAUAUUAAAUGCGAUAGUAAAAAAUAAUACAAGCAACAACAAUAAAAAUGAAUGGAUAAAGAGGACAAAUUAAUAACAUGUAGAAUAACAAACAUAUGAACAAAUUAGAUUGAAAUAUUCUCUUAAAACUAAUAAUGAAAACAUGAAUAAAUAAUUAAAAUGAACAUGAACAAAGUGAUAAAAAUAUUAAAAUAUAAAUAUGUACAUAUAUAUGUAUGUGGAAAUUAUAAAAUAUAAAAACAAGACAACAAGGAUAUACGUAAAAUAUAUAAAUGAUGUAUGUGUAUAUAAAUUAUAAAAUAAAAAAAUAUAUAAAAAGGGCACUUUUCAAAAUAUAAAAAAUAUAUAAAUAGGUAUAUAUAUAUUUAUGAAAAAGAAGAUGUGUAUGUAGGUAUAUAUAGUCGUGUGUAUAAAUUAUAAAACAUAUAAAAAUAUAAAAAUAUGUAUAUAUGCAUGUAUAUAAAUAGGUUAUACAUAUGCAUAUUUUAAAAAUUGUGAAAUAUAACAAAUAUAUAUGUAUAAAUAUAAAUUAUAAUAUAUGUACAUAUGUGUAUUAUAAAAUGUAUAUAAGUAUACGUAUAUUUUAAGAUUAUAAAGUACAUAUAAAAAGAAUAUAUUUAUGUAUAUAUAUUUUAAAGUUAUAGAAUAAAAAACGUAUGUGUCUGUAUAAAUAUAAAAACAUAAAAUAUAUGUGCGUAUAUAUAUAUGUAUGAGUAAUUAUAAUAAUAAUAAUAUAAUAAGACAAAUAUAUUUACAAUUUUCAUAAAUAAGUAUAAAUGGAGAUAUAACAAUAAUAACAAUAAUAUUGAUAAUAAUACUAAUACUAAUACUAAUAAUAAUAAUAAUAAUAAUAAUAAUAAUAAUAAUAAUAAUAAUAAUAUAUUAGUUUUAAUAAAAAUAUAUGAUAAUAAAAAUAAUAGCGCAUAUUAAAAUAACGUAUAUAUAUAAAGAUAAAUGAAAAUAUAAAUAAAACAAAAAUUAAUAGUUAAAAGAAAUAAAAAAUACGAAAGGGAUUAAAUAGAAAUCAGAAAUAAAUUUAAGGGUGAGAAAACGAAACUAAAUAUUGUUUGGGGAUCAAAUCAGGAAACGCACAGAAAAGAAAGGACCAAAACAGUAAAUAUCCCGGUCCAUUCUAUACAUAGCGUUUCAGUAAGGACCGAAUUGAAAAUACAAGGAAAAAACGGGGUGAAAUUGCAAAAGUGAAAGAUAUUCAAUUGAAAACGCAAAGAAAAGCGGAAGGACUAGGGUAGCAAUUAUACCCUAGUCACAAAACACGCGGAUCUUCCUGGUAAACGGGUCAGGUCGAGUCAAAUGGCCUCAAAACGACAUUGUUUUGAGGCCGAAUGAAACAGGCCAAAACAGCGCCGUUUCAGAGUCUUUAAAAACCCUAAAAAAAAACCUAAUUACAUUUUAGCAGCCUCAACAAUAAAAAAAGGACAGAGAGCCUCCACCUCUUUUUGGCCCCCCGAACUCCGGCGCCAACCUCAACGGCGGUCCACCGUGUGGCCACCGUGGCCAAGGGCCGACGCGGCUCGAGAAGGUCCCCUUUUGACCGGGUCCAAAAAUAAACCCGAAGAUUCGGGUUUUCGACCCCCAAAACUAAAAAGGAAGGCCCUUAACCUUCUCCCUUUUUUAUUUUAUUAAUAGUUUUUUUAAAAGAAAAAACUGAUUUAAAAAGAAGAAAAAAAUGAUAAAAUAAAAAAAUCGAAAAACAGUAACCUUUGCUUUUAUUUCUGAUGUUUGUUCUCUUAAUAUUUGAUUCUUGAUGUCCCUCAAUUACAUUCAUUUGUUUGGCUUUUAUAGCCGUAUUACAUUGUUCUUGUGCUACUGCUUUUUCUCUGUUUCUUUCUCUGCUUUUGUCUUUCUCUUUUCUUGCAGGUGGUGGAGUCAAUGACGAUGGAGGGGCAGAUCCCCUUGCUAUUUUGGUGAAACAUCGACAGAGAGGGUCAGGCCUCGGGACGAGACGAGAGCGGAGUGCCCAAUGAGGAGCGGCGCACAUGGGAGCUAGGGUUUCUGAGAAUGAGUUUAGGUUGUCGGCCAACGGGCCGCUUAAGGUUUUGUUAUUUUGGGCUAUUUGGGCCUCUUUUGUAAAUGGACUUUUUUAUUAGUUUUAUUUGGUUUUAUUUUAUUUAGUUUUUGGCCUUACAAUCAGAACAGUAGUUUUGGGACCAUAAAUUCGAGUCAGAAAAAUAUUUAAAUAUUAUUAUUUGUGUUUAUACUAUGUGAAUUUAUAUCCAUGAAAUUUUCAUGUUUUAAUUUUGUCGUUUGAGUGCUGAUUUAAUAAAAAUGUUCAAUUGCGUAAGAUGAAAAAGUUGAUAGUUAAAUAUGUAAGGGCCGAAUUGUUGAUGUCUUUAUAGCAUGAGGUAUUUAUGAUGCAAUUAGACCAUUUAAUUCAUGCAUGGACACUUUUGGACAUGAGUUAGUGGAAAUGGAAUAAAAUUAUAAAGGUUAAAAAUGAAAAUAAAUAAUUAUAUGAUAAUUAAAUAAAACAAAAGCAUAAAAUAAAGCCAUUAUCAUCUUUGUUGGCCGAAUAUAGCAAAGAAAGAAAAUCAUCCAUGGCUUUUUAGGUUUUGGCUACUAUCAAGCUUAAUUCAAGAUUUGUUUUUGCUCGGUUUUUGAUAAUUUUUACGUUUUUGAGAUCGUUGCUAUGAAAUCUGUAAAGCCCAUGUUGUAAUUUUUUAAUUUGAUGAUGAUUUUGUGUUUUUCUAUUGAUGAUAGCUUGUGAUUUUUGUUAUUUGUUGAUAGAAAAUAAAAGAUAUGUGAUAGAUUAUAAUGUUUUGUCUUUGGAUUUUUGAUAAAUUUGAGUAAUUUGGGUUAAAUUGUGAAAAUAAUAUUUUGAGGGAUUAAAAUGUGAAAUAAAUGAAAUGCAUGGACUUUUAUGAGAAUGGUGAAGAUUCGGGCUAAGCAUGAUGUGUGCAAAAUUUGCAUGUUUUGUGUUUUGUGCAAUCUGGACUAAAUUGUAAAAAGUGUUAAAUGUUAGGGGCAAAAUGGUAAUUUGUCCAUUUAUGUGUUUUUGGGUGAAAUUGAGUGGAAUAAUAUUUGAAUGAGUUUAAUUUGAAUAUGUUUAGAUCAAGAACCAAAGAAAUUGGAUUUGGAUCGGGAAAAAACAAAAAUAAUCGAAUAGUCGUUUAUUUCCGUCCGUCGAUAUCCAAGGUAAGUCUAUAGCAUAUAAAUGCUGUUAAUUUUGAAUAUAUGUAAAUUUUAUAUGCUGAAUUGAAUUUUAUGAAUAUAAAUAUGUAUUGGCAGAAAGUGUAUAAGCUUAGGAAAUAUGGUUACGAGAUUGAUUCAAUUGAGUUACACCGUCCGAAAGUCCCAUGCGAACCUUAGGAAUAUUUAGGAUACAUAUGUCAUGAAAUAGAAUUUUGUUAUGUGUUAUCGUGUAAGACCACGUCUGGGACGUUGGCAUCAACUUGUGACUUACGUGUAAGACCUUUUCUGGGAUAGUCGCAUCGAUAUGUGAUUACAUGGAAGACCACGUCUGGGACGAUGGCGUUGUACGAAAUGUUCGAUUAUCCGAGUAUCCUUUUUAAUUUCGAAUGGUUCAACGGGCAAUAGUAAGUUAAGAUCGAGUGUAAAAUCGAGCUAGAAAGGAUCAGGUACGUACUCAUACUAAGUUAUAAAAAAAAUUAAGAUAAGAUGAAUGUUGAAUUGGUGGUAUAAUGUUAUAUGUUAAUGUGAAUUAUGUGAUAGUAUAUGUGAAUAUAUAUAUAUAUAUAUAUAUAUAUAUAUAUAUAUAUAUAUAUUUGGCCUAAUGAUGUAAAUGUAUUAUAAAAAGUAAUGGUUAAGUGUACUAAUAUUUGAAUGAGUAUUUGGCCAAAGGAGAAUUUAUGCAAAUUUUAUAUAUUUUGACUUAGGAAAUUAUAAGUUGGAAAUGUACAUGGAUUAUUAAUAGAUUAUUUCGAUUUGACUAGAUUAAUUUUGUAUAUGAUUAAACGUUUCCAUUGCUUAUGACUUACUAGGCUGUUAAAGCUUACCGUGUCUAUUUGCUCUUUGUUUUUUUUUUUAGAUUUUGAAGGUUGGUUAUGAGCUCGGGGAUCAUCAGAGAAGUCUCUAUCGACUCCUUUCGGUAUAUUAUUAAGUUGAAUUCGAACUUAUGGCAUGGAUAGGCUAGUUAUUAUACUUGAUUUUUGGGUAUGUAAAUAUGAGUCAUGCGAAAAUGGCUUAUUCAUUUUGGUUAAGCUUGGUUUUUAUGCUUUUGGUCUAAUGAAUAUAUAUAUAUAUAUACAUAUAUAUAUAUGAUGCUUAAGCUUAUGCAAAAUUUCGGUUAUGAUAUAUAAGUGUGAUGUGUUUGGCAUAUUUGUUAAUAGUUGUAUAAAUUAGCUAUAUUUGAGCCUAUUUCGAAAGCAAUAUGUGUAUCAUAGUUAUAUGAUGUAUUUAGUAUAUGCAUGAAAAUGUAGUCUCAAAAGUUGAUAUAAUUUUCUAUUAUUUGGUUUUGAUUGAAUAUGAAAUGAAUAGUCUUAUAUUACGGUUAAGUAAUGGGGAAAAUGAUGGAAGUAUUAUUGACUUAUGAUAUGUGUUAGUAAUUUCCUUGGAAUGAAUAUGCUAUGUGUAAUACUCAACUUUGCCCAGGGCCCAAUCUAAAACCCAAAAUAAAUAAACAUCAAAAAAUAAAACAAUAAACAGUCUAUUUUUACAAAUAACCCAAACCCAAAUGACCCAAUACCUAGCCCACUAACCUAAACCCUAGCCCAACUGCAAUGUGGUCCUCAACAAAAACACAACACAGCAGAAACCCUAAGCAGUGGCAACAAACCAGCGCCGCAACUGUCGCCCCUUUGCCUGCCUCCGUCGUAGCACCCACUCCGCGCACGUCGCGCACGUUCUCCUCCAGCACGUACCUGUAACGAACCACGAAUAGCAAAUAAUAACAAAAAAUAUAGCAAGAAUUAAGGGAUUUUUUUAUUUUUUUCUCUAAGAUUCGGCUAUAAAGACCGAAUGAUGAUUUUGUAAAGAGGGAGAGGAGUAGUAUCGAAAAGAGUAUUAAAAAUACAAAAACAGAGAAUCUAAAGAUUUUUGGAGGUGAUUUGUUUUUUAUUUUGCUCUUCGAGUUUUCUUCUUACUACUUAUAUAUACUUUUUGUUUCAUUUUUUAAAGAAAAUAAUAAAGAAAGAAAAUGAACGGCUUACAUGGCUUCGAGCACCGUUUGCGGUGGCUCCACGGUGGGCAUGGCGGCUGCCUGGGCAGGGUAUAAAACCCUAGCAGAGAACCCCAUUUCUCCUCUGCUUUCCUCUUAAAAGAAUGAAUGUUGUGGAGUGAGAUCUGAAAAGAAAGCAAAAGAGAAAUAGGGAGGAAGAAGAAGAAAUUAAGAGAAAUAGAAGAGAGAAGUCAGCAGAAGAAUACUUGCUUUUUCAUUUCAUAACCUCCCAUCGAUACUGUUUUGGUGUAUAUAGAAACCAACUAACAGAAUUCAACAAUAAGGUCUAAACACAUCGUUUUAGAAACAUCAUAAAAGGCACCGUAUAACUAAACUAAAACAAUUAUAAAAUGCAGCGUUUAAGACUCAAACAAUUAAAACAAUUAUAAUGAAAAUGUAGAUAAAAUGACCGUUAGCUGUUGCCAUAACAAUUGCCCCUCCUGCAAAAAUAUCCUUGUCCUCAAGGAUCAAACGUUGGAAAGCGUUGUUGAAGCUCCUGAAGCUUCUCCCAUGAAGCAUCCUCCGGAAAGGUGUCCGCCCAUUCGACCAGGACCUCCACAGCAGCAUGAUUCCCCUGUUUAACUAAAAGCCUAUCCAGAAUUCGCACGGGUGUCUUAAGAAGAGUGCCAUAAAACCCAAUCGGUGGAAAAUUUGAAGCACUCACCGCUGAGCCUAUAUGCUUCUUCAAUUGUGAAACAUGAAAAAUAGGAUGAAUACGAGCCGAUGAUCGUAGCGAGAGUUUGUAAGCAACCUAGCCGACUCGAGCUUCUACCGGAAAAGGUCUAAAAUAUCGAGGUGCUAACUUUUGAUUUUUAAACUUACGCAGGGAAUGUUGACGAUAUGGUUGCAGCUUCAAGUAAACCAAAUCGCUUACCUGGAAUUCACGUUCAGACCUUCGUUUGUCAGCCAUCUGUUUCAUCCGAUCUUGUGCCCGAGUGAGAUGGAACUUCAGAACCUUGCGCAUAGCCUCCCUAUUUUGCAAUGUUCUAUCCACCGUAGCCACCGGAGAAGCCCCCGCCACAUAUGGUAAGUGGAGAGGUGGUACUUGCCCAUAAAUAGCCUCGUACGGAGUAGUGUAGAUAGCCGAAUGAUAGGUAGUAUUGUACCACCAUUCAGCCAAUGGCAACCAAGCUGACCAAGUAGAAGGUUUCUCACCUACCAUACAUCUCAAAUACCCUUCGAGACCUUUGUUAAGAAUUUCAGUUUGGCCAUCCGUUUGAGGGUGGUAUGCCGUAGAUCGUUUCAAUUUGGCGCCCAUUUGUUUGAACAAUUCCUGCCAGAACGAACUUAGGAAAAUUUUGUCCCUAUUAGACACAAUAGACUCAGGAAUUCCAUGCAAUUUAUAAACAUGAGUAAGAUAUGCGUGAGCCACAGUAAGAGCAGUGAAGGGGUGAGCCAAUGCAAUAAAAUGACCAUAUUUGGUCAAACGAUCUACCACGACCAAGAUGGUCGAAUUACCCUGUGAUAGUGGAAGACCCUCAAUAAAGUCCAUACUGACAUCACUCCACGCCCGGUCUGGUAUAGGUAAGGGCUGCAAUAAUCCUGGUGAAGCAGAAUUUUUAGCUUUGCAACGCUGACAAAUAACACACUCACGUACCCAUUAUUUAACGUCCUUCGACAACCCUUUCCAAUACAAAUAUGCUAAAAUUCUAUUACGGGUGGCAUGGACCCCUGAAUGAUCUCCUAAGGCUGUGUCAUGGAAAAGACUAAAAAUAUGUCUUCGAAGUUGAGAAUCAUUACCGACCACGACCUUGCCCAACCGGCGAAGAAAUGUACCAUGCCAUGAAUAUUUUGGGUGCAUUUGAGGCUGAUUUCGAACGUCCUGACACAAUUGAAAAAGCUUCUCAUCUGUUGUGUAUGACUCAAUGAUACGCUCCCAUAUCGUGGACCAAUCCGGCUCAACAUUCCCCACACAUUGCAGCAACUGAGAAUCAGGGUCAAGGGGUUUCCUAGAUAACGCAUCAGCCACUGUAUUUUGAGCCCCCUUGCGGUAAACAAUCGAGUAAUCAUAACCCAACAUCUUAGCGACCCAUUUCUGUUGGAAUGGUGUAAUAGCCUGCUGAUCAAUCAGAAACUUCAAGCUUUGGUGGUCUGUUUUAAUAAAAAAAUGCCUUCCAAUAAGAUAAGAAUGCCAUUUUUUAACAGCUAAAAUUACCGCAAGCAUUUCCUUGUCAUAAAUGGAUAAAGCUUGAUAUUUGACGCCUAAUGCCUUGCUAAAAAAUGCCACCGGUUUACCCUUUUGUUGUAGGACAGCUCCCACCCCAUGACCGCUCGCAUCCGUUUCGACACAAAAGGGUUCUUGAAAAUUCGGUAAAGUUAAAACAGGCGCUUGACACACAGCUACCUUUAGUUGGUCAAAAGCUAUUUGUUCCACCUCUGACCAUUGCCAUGGAACAUUCUUCUUAAGUAAGGUGGUAAGGGAUGUGGCUAGAAGUCCAUACCCUCUGAUGAACCUUCUAUAGUAUCCCGACAACCCUAAAAAACCCCGCAACUCUUUAACUGAUUUCAGAAUAGGCCAAUCCAACACACCAUUUACCUUAGUUCGGUCCAUACUAACUGUACCUUUCGAUAUUACAUGCCCUAAAUAUUCCACCUGUACAACUCCAAAAAUACAUUUCGAUUGCUUAGCAUAAAGUUGAUGGGUCCUCAAUACCUGUAAUACCUCCUGUAAAUGAGUCAAAUGGUCUUUCCAUCCCCGAGAAUACACAAGUAUAUCAUCGAAAAAGACCAGUACUGAUUUUCUCAAAAAGGGUCGAAAAAUUGAAUUCAUAAGUGACUGAAAACUUGAUGGAGCGUUGGUCAAGCCAAACGACAUUACCAAAAAUUCGUAAUGGCCGGUAUGAGUUUUGAAAGUUGUUUUAUGCACAUCCUGCUCACACAUUCAAAUUUGAUGGUAACCCGAACGUAAAUCUAACUUGGAAAAGAAGUGAGCCUCCCCCAACUCAUCCAACAGUUCCUCGAUGAUCAGAAUAGGAAAUCUGUCUUUAACCGUCAAUUGGUUAAGCUGCCGAUAGUCUACACACAGCCUCCAACUACCGUCUUUCUUUUUAACCAUCACCACCGGAGACGCAAACGGACUAUUACUGUCUCGGAUAAUUCCAGCUUGCAACAUCUCCUGUAUGAGCUUCUCAAUGUCAGUUUUUUGAAUUACAGGAUAUCUGUAAGGUCGUACCUUAACCACCUUGGAUUCAUCCAUCAAAGGAUUUUUGUGAUCGUGUAACCGUGGAGGUGGUAAACUGGUAGGAGUUUGGAAAACGUCUUCAAAUUCAAUAAGCAGGCUACUUAGAUCGGAAGACAACUGCGUUGGACGCAUGGUCAAAGUGGUCUGCUCGCAAAAAGCUAAAAGCAUUGGGCAAGGGUCGUUACCCACUAAGCUCAGGCAUUUAGAUAGUUUUCGACUAGGAACAAUGUGCAUAGAACCCGGUACAGUACCACGCAAAGUACAGCUCUGUGCCAAAUGAGUAAACUGCAUAGUCAAGUUAGAAAAAUUCCACGCAAUUGAACCUAAAGAUAAUACCCACUGAAUACCAAGUACCAAAUCAAAACCCUUCACAGAUAGAACUAAGAAAUCCGUUGUGAACUUAUGUCCUUGUGCUUCCCAACCAACAGCCCUGCAUAGCCCUUGAGUACAUAGUCGGACUCCGUUUGCCACCAUAACUCUCUUAUUAGGACCCGAUUCUAAUGGUAACUCCAACCGUUUCGCCACCUUGAAGUCUAUAAAAUUGUGGGUACUACCCAAAUCCACCAAGACGAUCACUUCCAUAUGAUUAAUAACAGCAGGAAAUUUCAUAGUGCUAUGCCCUUGCAGCCCCUACAGCGCAUGUAACGACAGUACAUGAGUAGGACUCUCUAGAGCCUAGUCCACUGAAUCUAACUGCUACGGACAGUCUUGGAAGUCUUCAAGAGAAGGGCUCUUCGAAUCAACAUUAUAAUCCCCUAACAGCUCCACUACAAGUUGGUACACCUGAGAUUUUGAACACUUGUGGCCAGGUGAAUACUUCAAUCCACACCAAAAACACAAACCCUUUUUCCUCCUAUCUUCUAACUCCGCCUGGGAUAGGGAUUUUGAAGGAAUUCGUUGCCCCGGUUUACUAUUGUUCACAGGUUCCCCUGCUGCAACCACGUUUCCACCAUUACGCUGCAAUUUGGGUGUAGGGAAAAAAGACCUUGCUGUAUGAACUCCGCUACUAACAGGAGGCUCUUUUUUCAAAGACCCUAACACAAUGUUCUCCACUUGUCUUGCUAAGUUAUAAGCCUCCACCAAUGUUUGAGGUUUAAACAAACGGAGAUAUUGGCCAAUUUCAGUUUUGAGAUUACUAAUAAAUAUGCUUAACGCAUAAGGUUCUGGUAGAUUCAACUAAUUUAGCAGACUCAAGAAUCCAUCAUGAAACUGAUCCACUGAUCCAUGCUGUUUGAAAGUUACUAGUUCAGCCAUAGGAUCUAAAAAAGUCUCAGAUCUAAAUCGUUCUCUAAGUCCCCUUGCAUACACCUCCCAAGUCAACAAUGGUAACCCUCCAUGCCUACGUACAAAGAAAUGAUGCCAAUCUAGUGCUCUCCCUUCAAGAUGCAGCAUAACCACCCUAAUUUUUCCGUGGUCACCCACACCCUCAGCCUCAAAAUAUUGUUCCAAUUUUGACCACCAUCCCCUAAAAUUAUCUCCAUCAAAAUGAGGACAAUCAACCCGAAAAGAAGAAUGCUCAACCUCAGCUACACCCCCCCGAGAAGACAGGCUCGAAUGACCAAAAUCAUGCAUAGGAGACACUACUAAGGGUUCCUUUGCUGGAAACCCAGGAGGAGAACCUAAAACUCCUUUUCCCUUCCCGAUCACUGAACCCGAGACAGCCCCUGGUAGAUGCUGACCAAAGUAUUGUUCAAAUAAAGACUGGAUCUCCGAACGAAGCUCCGAUCGUACUUCAGAACGUACCUCUGUUUUAAUUCCUUCCUGAAAUUCUUUUAAUCGCGCAUCAAUUUGAGCAUCCAACUGAGUGAGCUCUAUUUGCAUUUGCGAAAACUCCCCUUGCAAUGUGCCUAAUUCCCGCUGCAUUCUGGUGGUUACUCCAUCCCCGGCCAUGAGAAUCGACGGCUCUGAUACCUUUGUUGUGGAGUGAGAUCUGAAAAGAAAGCAAAAGAGAAAUAGGGAGGAAGAAGAAGAAAUUGAGAGAAAUAGAAGAGAGAAGUCAGCAGAAGAAUACUUGCUUUUUUAUUUCAUAACCUCCAAUCGAUACUGUUUUGGUGUAUAUAGAAACCAACUAACAGAAUUCAACAAUAAGGUCUAAACACAUCGUUUUAGAAACAUUAUAAAAUGCACCGUAUAACUAAACUAAAACAAUUAUAAAACGCAGCGUUUAAGACUCAAACAAUUAAAACAAUUAUAAUGAAAAUGUAGAUAAAAUGACCGUUAGCUGCUGCCAUAACAAUGAAAUAGAAAUGGUUUUUCAAGAAAAAUUUUGAUUUAAGUAUUAAAGGAGAACGGCACCGUUUUGAGGUAAAGCCAUCAGUGCCAAAACGAUGUCGUGUAAGGCUACCCGCGUGAGACCCGACUCGUUUUCUCAGGAUCCCGUGUUUUUACUUUUAAUGGUCCAUUUUCGCAAUUGGUCCUUCGAUUUUUAGAAGCGUGUUUAAAUCAAUUUUUUUGUUUCUUUUAAAUUUGGCCGCAUGCUUUAUUUUUGUUUCAUUUCGAUCCUUAUUAAAACGCAGUAUUUUGGGGAAAAGGGUAAUUUCCCUUUUGAUCCCCCUCUGUUAUGUGCGUGUUCAAUGGGGUUCGCAUAUUUGUGUUUAUUUCGAAUUUGCUCUUAAAUUUUUGCCUGAAUUUCAAAUUAGUCAUUCUUUUUAUUUUUGUAUUAUUAUUAUUAUUAUUAUUAUUAUUAUUAUUAUUAUUAUUGUUAUUGUUAUUAUUAUCAUCAUCAUCAUCAUCAUCAUCAUCGUCGUCGUCGUCAUCGUCAUCAUCAUCAUCAUCAUCAUCAUCAUCAUCAUCAUCAUCAUCAUCAUCAUCAUCAUCAUCAUCAUCAUCAUCAUCAUCGUCAUCAUGUAUAUCUUUAAUGCCAAAUUUUAUUAUAUAUACAUGCAUACAUUUUUGUAAUAUUUAUGUACAUAUUUUUUAUAAUUUAUAUAUAUACGUACACUUUUUUAAAAUUAUUAUAAAUACAUUUUUUUGCAUAUUUCAUGUUUUUAUAGACAUAUAAAUACUUAUAUACAUGCGUAUUUUGAUACAUAUAUAUACAUAUUUUCAUAAUUUCCUUACAUGUUAUACUUAUACAUUUUUUAUUUUUGUAAAUACAUAUACAUAUAUUUUAAUAUACACAUGUGUAUGUACAUUUCAUGUUUUUUCAUAUCUAUAUGUUUUUUUUACAUAUUUCAUAACUUCAAAAUAUACAUGCAUACACAUACUCUAUAUUUUUAUAUAUAUAUAUAUAUAUUUCAACUCAUACACAUACUUAUGUGCACAUAUGUAUGUACUUAUAUUUAUAUAUAUUUCCUAAUUUUAAAACAUAUAUACAUAUAUAUUCUUCUUGUUUUUAUAAUUUUACGUAUAUACAUAUAUAUAUAUAUUUUAUUUCUUUCACGAUUUCGUUGUUUCGCACGGUUUACUUCUUUGUCUUUAUGUCCAUUUUAUUCAAAUAGCUUGUCUACUUAUUGAGUUGUUUUUAUUUUUCAUUGGUUGUUGCUCGUGCUACUCUCAUUUGCAUCACUGUAUUUAUCAUUGCUUGUCUUGCACGUCAACGAUACAAUUUAUUUUCGCAUUUUUAUGACUUCGUGUUUUAUUUUACUCGUUACAUCAAAAUUUGUUUCGAAUAAAUAACAUUUCGUGUUUUGAGAUUCGGGAAAGUUGUACCCUAACUUAGGGGGUUUCGAUUUCCUCAAUAAAUCCAAAUACACGAAUUUUCUCAAACAUUUUUUGAUAAUCUCGGGAACUAAUAAAAGAUUGUGUUCUAACUUACGGAAUAUGGUCUCUUCUAAAACUCGAGAUAAUUAAAUUUUUUUCAAAUAAAUAUUUCGGCAUUCAUUCUCGUAUCGGGAAUUUUAAACAUUGCGUCCUAACUUACGGGACAUAACUUUCUUUCUCGCUUAACGUGAAAAUAAGUCUGUGUCUCAAAAAUCCACAAUAUUUAUCUCAAGUUACAUGUUAGUCAUUAUUGUUUGAAAUGUUACAUUUUAGUCACUUACAUUAACAUUUUUUUACGAAAUUAUCGCUCUGCCGUUAAAAUUUGUUAUUUCUCAAACGAUAGGCCAAUAUGACAGUUAAAAUGAGUUUUAAAUAUUAACGAUAGAGUGACCAUUUUCUUUAUAAAACGAUAACAAAAGUAAUUAAAAAUAACAUUUUAAAUGGAAGUAAUUAAAAUGUAGCCUAAAUCAAAUAAAAAUGUUUAUUUGGAUAGUUUACCUUAUUUCUUUUUUUUAAUUUAUCAACACACCGUAGUUAAGUUCCAGCCAAGUCAACUAUGAAGCCUAGUCAACAAUCAAAAGCAGAUAUUUGGCUGAAAAUAAUAAAAUCAUUAUUGAGUGCCUCAAUCAUUCAUUUGCCUUCCUUCCCCUCAACCAUUCAAGCUUUGCUCUAGAAAUUCAAUUAUGGCGGAAACGUUUCUGUUCAAUAUUGCAGAAAGGGUUCUCGCCAAAAUUGGCAAUCUCUCUGUAGACGAAGUUCGCUUGGCGUUUAAUGUCAAAACCGAUCUGAAAAAGCUGGAGGACACCAUGAUCAGCAUUAAAGCUGUGCUCUUGGAUGCCGAGCGGCAACAGCACCAAAAUGAAAAGCUGUGCCUCUGUAUGUGGAAGCUCGGAGACAUCUUUUACGAUGCUGAGGACGUUAUUGACGAUUUCAAGUGUGAAGCUCUCUGGAAACAGGACGCCAUCAAUCAUCCCGACAUCAACAACUUAAAGGUGCGACUUUUAGGUUCCUGUUGUUUGCCUCUUUCAUUCUAUUUAAAAAUGAGUCAUAAAAUCAAAGACAUCAAUGGGAGACUAGGCGAACUUGCCACUGAGUGGAAAAGCUUUGAUCUAAGACAGUGUAGCGACAACCGACAUGUUUUUCGCAGAGAGACCAUCUCUUUUGUGGAUUCUUCUGAUGUUAUUGGUAGAGAUGAGGAUAAAAAGAACAUUAUUAGUAUGUUGAUGAAACCAAGUGAGGCUCGAAAUGUCCCUGUCAUUCCCAUUGUUGGAAUUGGGGGUUUAGGAAAAACCACGCUCGCUCAAUUAGUUUACAAUGAUGAUCGAGUUACUAGCCUUUUUCCUUUGAAGAUAUGGAUCUGUGUUUCUGAGGAAUUUGAUCUUUCUAGAUUGCUCAGGCUGAUUAUUCAGUCUGUAAAUACAGGAGAAAGAUGUGAUGAUUCAACCCUUGACGCCUUGCAAGCUCGUUUGAGAAGCCUUUUGACUGAUAAGAAGUUCUUGCUCGUCCUGGAUGAUGUGUGGAAUGAAAAUAAAGCAAAAUGGGUUGAGUUAAGAAAUUUGUUGAGAUCAAUAGAUGGCUUGCCUCAAAGCAAAAUAAUCGUGACUACUCGGAGUUUGAAGGUUUCCUCGAUAAUGAGUUCAAUUUGCCCUUAUGA
rnacentral:lncRNA from 1 species